GGAAGUUCUCCACUGUGAAGCUGUGGGCUGAAGUGAAACAUCCCAGGGAGACAUGUUGGAAGCCCUCCCACAGGCUGUCCACCUAAGGAAAGCACUGUUCUGAGGUGCUGACUAUCUAGAUGAUGGUGUCCCAUACUUGCAAACGUGCUGGCAGCCAGAUGCCACAGGAGUUGCAAAGCAGCACAACCCAAGGCCCUGCUUCCCGUAGCUGCAGCCAUCACAGAAGUCAGGACACAGCCCCAGAAGCCGCUGCACAAGAGUGCAUGGUUAAAGCUGACCAGUUCCCACAUGUCUGGCAUCACACCUACUCUGCAGCUGAGACUUCAG
rnacentral:lncRNA from 1 species